UUAACAGGACAGGGUCCUUGUGCUCCUCAGGGUUGGAGUUGUUGCUUGUGAUGUUGGGUUUGGGUAACGCCAGGUACACAUGGAGCUGUCCAGUUGCUUCUUCACUCUAUAAAUUUUUUUUUUUACUUGUA